rnacentral:rRNA from 1 species
UACGGGGGGGGCAAGCGUUGUUCGGAAUUACUGGGCGUAAAGGGCUCGUAGGCGGCCAACUAAGUCAGACGUGAAAUCCCUCGGCUUAACCGGGGAACUGCGUCUGAUACUGGAUGGCUAGAGGUUGGGAGAGGGAUGCGGAAUUCCAGGUGUAGCGGUGAAAUGCGUAGAUAUCGGGAGGAACACCAGUGGCGAAGGCGGUUACCUGGAGCUUUGCUGACGCUGAUGCGCGAAAGCGUGGGGAGCGAUCCGG